rnacentral:rRNA from 1 species
UACGUAGGGGGCAAGCGUUGUCCGGAAUCAUUGGGCGUAAAGAGCGCGUAGGCGGUCCGGUAAGUCCGCUCUGAAAGCCCGGGGCUCAACCCCGGGAGGCGGGCGGAUACUGUCGGGCUAGAGUCCGGAAGAGGCGAGUGGAAUUCCUGGUGUAGCGGUGAAAUGCGCAGAUAUCAGGAGGAACACCGGUGGCGAAGGCGGGUCUCUGGGCCGAUACUGACGCUGAGAAGCGAAAGCGUGGGGAGCGAACAGG